rnacentral:rRNA from 1 species
CCUACGGGUGGCAGCAGUGAGGAAUAUUGGUCAAUGGACGCAAGUCUGAACCAGCCAUGCCGCGUGCAGGAAGACGGCUCUAUGAGAUGUAAACUGCUUUUGUACGAGGGUAAACGCAGAUACGCGUAUCUGUCUGAAAGUAUCGUACGAAUAAGGAUCGGCUAACUCCGUGCCAGCAGCCGCGGUAAUACGGAGGAUUCAAGCGUUAUCCGGAUUUAUUGGGUUUAAAGGGUGCGUAGGCGGUCGGAUAAGUUAGAGGUGAAAUCCCGAGGCUCAACUUCGGAAUUGCCUCUGAUACUGUUCGGCUAGAGAGUAGUUGCGGUAGGCGGAAUGUAUGGUGUAGCGGUGAAAUGCUUAGAGAUCAUACAGAACACCGAUUGCGAAGGCAGCUUACCAAGCUACUUCUGACGUUGAGGCACGAAAGCGUGGGGAGCAUACAGGAUUAGAUACCCUUGUAGUC